rnacentral:tRNA from 1 species
GCAGUGGAGGUUCAGUGGUACAAUUCUUGCCUUCCAUGCAGGAGACCCAGGUUUGAUUCCCAGCCAAUGUA